rnacentral:rRNA from 1 species
AGAGUUUGAUCAUGGCUCAGAUUGAACGCUGGCGGCAGGCCUAACACAUGCAAGUCGAACGGUAACAGGAAACAGCUUGCUGUUUCGCUGACGAGUGGCGGACGGGUGAGUAAUGUCUGGGAAACUGCCUGAUGGAGGGGGAUAACUACUGGAAACGGUAGCUAAUACCGCAUAAUGUCGCAAGACCAAAGAGGGGGACCUUCGGGCCUCUUGCCAUCGGAUGUGCCCAGAUGGGAUUAGCUAGUAGGUGGGGUAACGGCUCACCUAGGCGACGAUCCCUAGCUGGUCUGAGAGGAUGACCAGCCACACUGGAACUGAGACACGGUCCAGACUCCUACGGGAGGCAGCAGUGGGGAAUAUUGCACAAUGGGCGCAAGCCUGAUGCAGCCAUGCCGCGUGUAUGAAGAAGGCCUUCGGGUUGUAAAGUACUUUCAGCGGGGAGGAAGGGAGUAAAGUUAAUACCUUUGCUCAUUGACGUUACCCGCAGAAGAAGCACCGGCUAACUCCGUGCCAGCAGCCGCGGUAAUACGGAGGGUGCAAGCGUUAAUCGGAAUUACUGGGCGUAAAGCGCACGCAGGCGGUUUGUUAAGUCAGAUGUGAAAUCCCCGGGCUCAACCUGGGAACUGCAUCUGAUACUGGCAAGCUUGAGUCUCGUAGAGGGGGGUAGAAUUCCAGGUGUAGCGGUGAAAUGCGUAGAGAUCUGGAGGAAUACCGGUGGCGAAGGCGGCCCCCUGGACGAAGACUGACGCUCAGGUGCGAAAGCGUGGGGAGCAAACAGGAUUAGAUACCCUGGUAGUCCACGCCGUAAACGAUGUCGACUUGGAGGUUGUGCCCUUGAGGCGUGGCUUCCGGAGCUAACGCGUUAAGUCGACCGCCUGGGGAGUACGGCCGCAAGGUUAAAACUCAAAUGAAUUGACGGGGGCCCGCACAAGCGGUGGAGCAUGUGGUUUAAUUCGAUGCAACGCGAAGAACCUUACCUGGUCUUGACAUCCACAGAACUUUCCAGAGAUGGAUUGGUGCCUUCGGGAACUGUGAGACAGGUGCUGCAUGGCUGUCGUCAGCUCGUGUUGUGAAAUGUUGGGUUAAGUCCCGCAACGAGCGCAACCCUUAUCCUUUGUUGCCAGCGGUCCGGCCGGGAACUCAAAGGAGACUGCCAGUGAUAAACUGGAGGAAGGUGGGGAUGACGUCAAGUCAUCAUGGCCCUUACGACCAGGGCUACACACGUGCUACAAUGGCGCAUACAAAGAGAAGCGACCUCGCGAGAGCAAGCGGACCUCAUAAAGUGCGUCGUAGUCCGGAUUGGAGUCUGCAACUCGACUCCAUGAAGUCGGAAUCGCUAGUAAUCGUGGAGCAGAAUGCCACGGUGAAUACGUUCCCGGGCCUUGUACACACCGCCCGUCACACCAUGGGAGUGGGUUGCAAAAGAAGUAGGUAGCUUAACCUUCGGGAGGGCGCUUACCACUUUGUGAUUCAUGACUGGGGUGAAGUCGUAACAAGGUAACCGUAGGGGAACCUGCGGUUG